rnacentral:rRNA from 1 species
GACAGAGGGGGCAAGCGUUGCUCGGAAUUACUGGGCGUAAGGGGCGCGUAGGCGGGAUGGCAAGUCGGUCGUGAAAUCCCUCGGCUCAACUGAGGAUCGUCGAUCGAUACUGCCGUUCUUGAGGAUUGCAGAGGAGACUGGAAUUCCCGGUGUAGCGGUGAAAUGUGUAGAGAUCGGGAGGAACACCGGUGGCGAAGGCGGGUCUCUGGGCAAUUCCUGACGCUGAGGCGCGAAAGCGUGGGGAGCAAACGGG